rnacentral:rRNA from 1 species
UACGUAGGGUGCGAGCGUUGUCCGGAAUUAUUGGGCGUAAAGAGCUUGUAGGCGGUUUGUCGCGUCUGCUGUGAAAUCUCAAGGCUCAACCUUGAGCUUGCAGUGGGUACGGGCAGACUAGAGUGUGGUAGGGGAGACUGGAAUUCCUGGUGUAGCGGUGAAAUGCGCAGAUAUCAGGAGGAACACCGAUGGCGAAGGCAGGUCUCUGGGCCACUACUGACGCUGAGAAGUGAAAGCAUGGGGAGCGAACAGG